rnacentral:lncRNA from 1 species
CCCUGCUUUUCCAUAUAUAAUCUUCUUGCUCCUUUCUUUUUCACAGAAAGGAUGGUGAAUUUUAACCAGAUGCACAGAGCAAUAUUCAGUAGAUAUGCCUGAUUUUAUUUCAUUUGAGGCUGAGACCGCUGCAUAACCUCUCUUCUGAGGUUCUGGACACUUGGUAUGGGUGCCUGUCUGACUCCAAACUCUGUGACUCAGAUCACCUUGAAAUGAGACGAUUUUAUUUAUUUGUCCUCCCCUGGGUCAGCUUCUGGGUGGUUUUCCUCAGGGGGCACUGCAUUUUCCUGACACACGUGGUUCCAGCUGACUGAAGAACCUGAAGGCAUACCUGAAGGGGAUGCAGUCUGUGGAGGUCUGAUGUUGGAGCAGACGAAACAAGUACAAAAGAAAGAGCAGCAGGAAAGUGUGAGCAACAAGUGGAGGAGAGAACACACUGUGCCUUGACCCCAACCUACAUUGCCUCAGCAUAACCUGCAGAGGUAGUAGGAGAUGUGGAGACUGGGAAUGGAGGAGGAAGCUGUCUGGAGUGAAGCUGAGACUGAGAAAGGUGGAGGAAAGAUUUAGGCAUUUAAUUGCUUCUCUUCUUUUGUUUCACAAUCCUCAAUUCAGUAAUUAAUGUUUUAUACUAAGUUUAAUUCCCAGUGUUGAGUCUGUUUGCCUGUGAUGGUAAGAUCCAUGAAAUUUUUUGCUCUUGCUAUUCCUAUUUUUGUCCUUUCCUACUUGUGGGGAGUGAGUGAGUAAGAGGCUGUGUAGGCAGUGUGGGUGCCUGGCUGCUAGGUCUGAGCAACCUACCACAAUGUGAU